rnacentral:rRNA from 1 species
AGUGAACGCUGGCGGUAGGCCUAACACAUGCAAGUCGAACGGCAGCACAGUAAGAGCUUGCUCUUACGGGUGGCGAGUGGCGGACGGGUGAGGAAUACAUCGGAAUCUACUUUUUCGUGGAGGAUAACGUAGGGAAACUUACGCUAAUACCGCAUAUGACCUACGGGUGAAAGCAGGGGAUCUUCGGACCUUGCGCGAUUGAAUGAGCCGAUGUCGGAUUAGCUAGUUGGCGGGGUAAAGGCCCACCAAGGCGACGAUCCGUAGCUGGUCUGAGAGGAUGAUCAGCCACACUGGAACUGAGACACGGUCCAGACUCCUACGGGAGGCAGCAGUGGGGAAUAUUGGACAAUGGGCGCAAGCCUGAUCCAGCCAUACCGCGUGGGUGAAGAAGGCCUUCGGGUUGUAAAGCCCUUUUGUUGGGAAAGAAAAGCAGCAGGUUAAUACCCCGCUGUUCUGACGGUACCCAAAGAAUAAGCACCGGCUAACUUCGUG